rnacentral:lncRNA from 1 species
GAUGACGACUGGCUGACUUACCGAACGGACGGACACUUUGAUCUUGAUCGUGCAAUCUAAGUCGCAAUGAAGGACUAUCGUCAAUGCGGCUGGAGCCGCUAGAUCCCACAGCAGCGAUCUUCAAACUGAUAAACCAACCUUUCACUUCUCAUAUGGGGAAUCAUCCACAUGAGGACCAGAAGAAGGCAUUCUAAGGCUAUAUAGAGCCCUUUCCAAGAAAUGAGCUAUCUUGCUUAGCAUACCUUACCAAAGAUCUUCAAAUCAAUCUCCUUGGUACUUGAACUUGAUUCUUUAAAGCCGGGAACUCCAUUCAAUUAGCUCGGCAUAAGCUCUCCCCUUGCUUUGCUCAUUUUCUCUUGAUACGCUUACCUUGCCCGUUUAGGUUUUCAAGAAGUAGACAGGGGCAGGGAAAUUACUAGCUAGGUUCUUAGUCUCAGUGCUCUCUCAGCGGCCAGCUCGUCAAAGUACC